UAACUAAGGUCUCUUUGACAUUUUUUAUUAUAAGGAUAACUACGGGAAAAGCUGUAGGCUAAUACUUGCUUUAUUAUCCUUUGAUUUUUAUCUUUGGAUAAGUAUUUGUUAGGCCUUAUAAGAAAAAAGUUAUUAACUUAAGGAAUUAUAACAAAGAAGUAACACGUAAUAAAUUUAUUUUAUUUAGUGUGUAUCAAUCGAGU
rnacentral:rRNA from 1 species